CGCAGGCCGUAGCCCGGGCGCCCCCCUCUGCCUGCCCCCCAGUCCUCAGAGCCCCCGCCGGGAAGAGGCAGGCGUGGGCAGAGAGCCGUGGGUGGAUGGCACAUCCCCAGGGGACGGCUCCUCACGAGCGACCUCGCUGGCCAGGCAAAACCUGCCCACUGCUCAACGUGGCGACUGACUCCAUCUUCCAACCUUCCAGAUCUGCCUUACGGGAUGGCCAAGCCCCUUGCCUGACUCCAGCCCUUGUCAUCACCUACCCAUCUCCCCUCCUUCACGGCUCACCACUGCCCCGCCCACUGUCUCUCCCACCCUGAAUGUGCCCAGCACUUCCUGCCACCUCUGGGCCUUUGUACACAGAAUGUCUUCCUUCUAAUGUCUCUCUCCUUCCUGGUUUGCUGGCAAACUCCUAUUCAACCUUCAAAAGCCAUCUCAUAGGUGUCCUCCUCCCUCUCUAAGGGAGCCUCGGCUCUCACAGCCCCCACGCGUCCCCAGCACUCCUGCCAGCCGUCUCCCUGCUCAACGAGACCGGUCUGGAGAGGAGGUCUCGAGUGUGUCCUCUCUGAGGCCCUGAACUCACCUUGGGCUUUUGAGAACUCAGUAUCUCCACAUUUAAGGCUAGAGGUUCCCUUCUUUUGUGAAGAGACCCUGCACUAGGGGGAAUAGGACCCGAACUCCAAAACACACAGGCUCUCUCUGCAGGCCCCCUAAGCCAGCCCCAGGCCCAGGGACAAAAGGUUUCUGUCAUGGAUCCUGAUCACAGUAGCCAUGUGUAAGAAUGACCAGGCCUGUUUAAAGGAGGGGAAACUGAGGCCUGGAUGUGGCUCCGUGGUAGGGUGCUUGCCUCUCAUGGGUAAGGCCCCGGGUUCCAGCAAAGAGGAGGAGGAGAAGGGGAAGGGAAGAGAAGGACAAAGUGAGGCUGGGCCAGGGUUCGUGUCCCUCCCCAAGCUGUUGGCUCCCUUAAUGUCCUUGUGUCUAGGGGAGGGUGCGGACAGGGCAGAGGACACUCCAGCUAGUGCCUGGGCAGGACAGGGCACACCCAGCUCGGAGAGGUGCCCUGUGUGCCAGGCACAGGAUUUGCCACUGCCCACUCAGAGAAGGCCACACACGAGCAGGGUCA
ensembl:lncRNA